AGAGUUUGAUCAUGGCUCAGAUUGAACGCUGGCGGCAGGCCUAACACAUGCAAGUCGAGCGCGAAAGGCUUUCGGGCUGAGUAGAGCGGCGGACGGGUGAGUAACGCGUAGGAAUCUACCUGGUAGUGGGGGACAACUUGGGGAAACUCAAGCUAAUACCGCAUACGCCCUAGGGGGGAAAGCGGGGGACCUUCGGCCUCGCGCUAUCAGAUGAGCCUGCGUAGGAUUAGCUAGUUGGUGAGGUAAAGGCUCACCAAGGCGACGAUCCUUAGCUGGUCUGAGAGGAUGAUCAGCCACACUGGGACUGAGACACGGCCCAGACUCCUACGGGAGGCAGCAGUGGGGAAUAUUGCGCAAUGGGGGCAACCCUGACGCAGCCAUGCCGCGUGUGUGAAGAAGGCCUUCGGGUUGUAAAGCACUUUAAGUGGGGAGAAAGGCCCGUUGGUUAAUAGCCAGCGGGAUUGAUGUUACCCACAGAAUAAGCACCGGCUAACUCCGUGCCAGCAGCCGCGGUAAUACGGAGGGUGCGAGCGUUAAUCGGAAUUACUGGGCGUAAAGCGCGCGUAGGCGGUUUGUUAAGUCAGCUGUGAAAGCCCCGGGCUCAACCUGGGAACUGCAGUUGAUACUGGCCGACUGGAGUGCGAGAGAGGGAGGUAGAAUUCCAUGUGUAGCGGUGAAAUGCGUAGAUAUAUGGAGGAAUACCGGUGGCGAAGGCGGCCUCCUGGCUCGACACUGACGCUGAGGUGCGAAAGCGUGGGGAUCAAACAGGAUUAGAUACCCUAGUAGUCC
rnacentral:rRNA from 1 species